GACGAACGCUGGCGGCGUGCUUAACACAUGCAAGUCGAACGGAAAGGUCCUGCCUUUGGGGGGGGCUCGAGUGGCGAAGGGGUGUGUAACAAUUGAGUAACCUGCCCUUGACUUGGUGAUAAUUUCUGGAAACUGGGGCUAAAAUCGGCUAGAAGCUCGUGAUGCUCGGGGGGGGUUGGUAUGUUUCGGCGGUAGGUGGUGGACUCUCGGCUGAUUAGCUCGUUGGUGGGGUAGGAGCUUACCAAGGAUUUGAUGGGUAGUCGGCCUGAGAGGGGGAACGGCCAACACGCGACUGAGAUAAGGCCCACACUCCUACGGGUCGCAGCAGCGGGGAAAAUUGCACAACGGGCGGCAGCCCGAUGCGGCACCGCCGCGAUCGGGAUGACGGCCGUCGCGUUGUAAACAGAUUUGGCAUGUGACGAAGCGUGAGUGACGGUAAUGGGUAAAGAAGCACCGGCUAACUACGUG
rnacentral:rRNA from 1 species